rfam:Oryza meridionalis cultivar OR44 (W2112) chromosome 2, whole genome shotgun sequence.
UUUAAGUAUAGUUGUGUGUUUCCACAUUCAACAUUUGAUCGUCCAUCUUAUUGAAUAUUUCUUUAUAAUUAUUACUUUUAUUGUUAUUAGACGGUAAAACAUGAACAAUACUUUAUAUGUAACUUAUUUUUAAAAAAAAUUAUAAAUUUUUUAAAUAAAAUGAACGGUUAUAUGUGAACACGAAACCCCUCGACUGCUUUAAAA